rnacentral:rRNA from 1 species
GGGUUGUGAGGUUAAGCGACUAAGCGUACACGGUGGAUGCCCUGGCAGUCAGAGGCGAUGAAGGACGUGCUAAUCUGCGAAAAGCGUCGGUAAGGUGAUAUGAACCGUUAUAACCGGCGAUGUCCGAAUGGGGAAACCCAGUGCAAUUCGUUGCACUAUCGUUAACUGAAUACAUAGGUUAACGAGGCGAACCGGGGGAACUGAAACAUCUAAGUACCCCGAGGAAAAGAAAUCAACCGAGAUUCCCCCAGUAGCGGCGAGCGAACGGGGAGCAGCCCAGAGUCUGAAUCAGCUUGUGUGUUAGUGGAACGGUCUGGAAAGUCCGACGGUACAGGGUGAUAGUCCCGUACACCAAAAUGCACAGGCUGUGAACUCGAAGAGUAGGGCGGGACACGUGGUAUCCUGUCUGAAUAUGGGGGGACCAUCCUCCAAGGCUAAAUACUCCUGACUGACCGAUAGUGAACCAGUACCGUGAGGGAAAGGCGAAAAGAACCCCGGCGAGGGGAGUGAAAAAGAACCUGAAACCGUGUACGUACAAGCAGUGGGAGCACCUUCGGGUGUGACUGCGUACCUUUUGUAUAAUGGGUCAGCGACUUAUAUUCUGUAGCAAGGUUAACCGUAUAGGGGAGCCGCAGGGAAACCGAGUCUUAACUGGGCGUUAAGUUGCAGGGUAUAGACCCGAAACCCGGUGAUCUAGCCAUGGGCAGGUUGAAGGUUGGGUAACACUAACUGGAGGACCGAACCGACUAAUGUUGAAAAAUUAGCGGAUGACUUGUGGCUGGGGGUGAAAGGCCAAUCAAACCGGGAGAUAGCUGGUUCUCCCCGAAAGCUAUUUAGGUAGCGCCUCGUGAAUUCAUCUUCGGGGGUAGAGCACUGUUUCGGCUAGGGGGUCAUCCCGACUUACCAACCCGAUGCAAACUACGAAUACCGAAGAAUGUUAUCACGGGAGACACACGGCGGGUGCUAACGUCCGUCGUGAAGAGGGAAACAACCCAGACCGCCAGCUAAGGUCCCAAAGUCAUGGUUAAGUGGGAAACGAUGUGGGAAGGCACAGACAGCCAGGAUGUUGGCUUAGAAGCAGCCAUCAUUUAAAGAAAGCGUAAUAGCUCACUGGUCGAGUCGGCCUGCGCGGAAGAUGUAACGGGGCUAAACCAUGCACCGAAGCUGCGGCAGCGACACUAUGUGUUGUUGGGUAGGGGAGCGUUCUGUAAGCCUGCGAAGGUGACCUGUGAGGGUUGCUGGAGGUAUCAGAAGUGCGAAUGCUGACAUAAGUAACGAUAAAGCGGGUGAAAAGCCCGCUCGCCGGAAGACCAAGGGUUCCUGUCCAACGUUAAUCGGGGCAGGGUGAGUCGACCCCUAAGGCGAGGCCGAAAGGCGUAGUCGAUGGGAAACAGGUUAAUAUUCCUGUACUUGGUGUUACUGCGAAGGGGGGACGGAGAAGGCUAUGUUAGCCGGGCGACGGUUGUCCCGGUUUAAGCAUGUAGGCUGGUUGUCCAGGCAAAUCCGGAUAAUCAAGGCUGAGGUGUGAUGACGAGGUACUACGGUGCUGAAGUAACAAAUGCCCUGCUUCCAGGAAAAGCCUCUAAGCAUCAGGUAACAUUAAAUCGUACCCCAAACCGACACAGGUGGUCAGGUAGAGAAUACCAAGGCGCUUGAGAGAACUCGGGUGAAGGAACUAGGCAAAAUGGUGCCGUAACUUCGGGAGAAGGCACGCUGGUGUGUAGGUGAAGUCCCUGCGGAUGGAGCUGAGACCAGUCGAAGAUACCAGCUGGCUGCAACUGUUUAUUAAAAACACAGCACUGUGCAAACACGAAAGUGGACGUAUACGGUGUGACGCCUGCCCGGUGCCGGAAGGUUAAUUGAUGGGGUUAUCCGUAAGGAGAAGCUCUUGAUCGAAGCCCCGGUAAACGGCGGCCGUAACUAUAACGGUCCUAAGGUAGCGAAAUUCCUUGUCGGGUAAGUUCCGACCUGCACGAAUGGCGUAAUGAUGGCCAGGCUGUCUCCACCCGAGACUCAGUGAAAUUGAACUCGCUGUGAAGAUGCAGUGUACCCGCGGCAAGACGGAAAGACCCCGUGAACCUUUACUAUAGCUUGACACUGAACAUUGAGCCUUGAUGUGUAGGAUAGGUGGGAGGCUUUGAAGCGUGGACGCCAGUCUGCGUGGAGCCAACCUUGAAAUACCACCCUUUAAUGUUUGAUGUUCUAACGUUGGCCCCUGACCGGGGUUGCGGACAGUGUCUGGUGGGUAGUUUGACUGGGGCGGUCUCCUCCCAAAGCGUAACGGAGGAGCACGAAGGUUAGCUAAUCCUGGUCGGACAUCAGGAGGUUAGUGCAAUGGCAUAAGCUAGCUUGACUGCGAGCGUGACGGCGCGAGCAGGUGCGAAAGCAGGUCAUAGUGAUCCGGUGGUUCUGAAUGGAAGGGCCAUCGCUCAACGGAUAAAAGGUACUCCGGGGAUAACAGGCUGAUACCGCCCAAGAGUUCAUAUCGACGGCGGUGUUUGGCACCUCGAUGUCGGCUCAUCACAUCCUGGGGCUGAAGUAGGUCCCAAGGGUAUGGCUGUUCGCCAUUUAAAGUGGUACGCGAGCUGGGUUUAGAACGUCGUGAGACAGUUCGGUCCCUAUCUGCCGUGGGCGCUGGAGAAUUGAGGGGGGCUGCUCCUAGUACGAGAGGACCGGAGUGGACGCAUCACUGGUGUUCGGGUUGUCAUGCCAAUGGCACUGCCCGGUAGCUAAAUGCGGAAGAGAUAAGUGCUGAAAGCAUCUAAGCACGAAACUUGCCCCGAGAUGAGUUCUCCCUGAGACUUUAAGUCUCCUGAAGGAACGUUGAAGACGACGACGUUGAUAGGCCGGGUGUGUAAGCGCAGCGAUGCGUUGAGCUAACCGGUACUAAUGAACCGUGAGGCUUAACCUUACAACGCCGAAG